rnacentral:rRNA from 1 species
UACGGAGGGGGCUAGCGUUGUUCGGAAUUACUGGGCGUAAAGAGUGUGUAGGCGGCGCUCUAAGUUCGGUGUGAAAUCUCUCGGCUUAACUGGGAGGGUGCGCCGGAAACUGGAGUGCUCGAACGUGGGAGAGGAAAGCGGAAUUCCUGGUGUAGCGGUGAAAUGCGUAGAUAUCAGGAGGAACACCUGCGGUGUAGACGGCUUUCUGGACCAUUGUUGACGCUGAGACACGAAAGCGUGGGUAGCAAACAGG